rnacentral:rRNA from 1 species
GGCGUAAAGCGCAUGCAGGUGGUUAUAUAAGUCAGAUGUGAAAGCCCCGGGCUCAACCUGGGAACUGCAUUUGAAACUGUGUAACUAGAGCUGUAGAGGGGGGUAGAAUUUC